AUGCUGCAACGCCUCUCUGGCGAGAAAGCGAAUUAUGCAGGCUGGCUUUGCUUUGAAAAGCUUGUGAUGUGUAAGCAGAGGAGGAAGACGAGGGUAUCUGUGCGCUUGCAGGCUGGCUUUGGUCCAGCCACGCAAGGGAAGGCACUUCUGCACGCCUCAGCACGGCGCCGUGCCGUGGAGCUGGCGAUGCGGGGUGGGUGCGGGCUGUGCGGGGGGCUGUGGGGGCACGGCUCUCCCCCCCCCGGGCAUGCAGUGCUCUGCCAGCAGUGUGUUCUCUGGGAAAAAAACCCCGCUUACGCCUGGUCUCCCCCCUGCUUGCCCUGCUGUCCUGUGCCACAACAACACGCAGCGUUUCUGCUUGCUUCUCUGCAGCUGUUGGCAGCCCCUGGAAAAGCCUCCUGGCCAAUUUUUUGGCCACCGCACUCGCGGUCUGCUCCUCUGGUAGGGGGGCUGUGGGGGGGCAGUGAUGUGUGGGGUGUGCAGGCAGGGUCCUGCUGCCCACGCCAUGGCCGGUGCAGGCAGCCCGCAGCACCAGCCCUGCCAGGGCUGCGGCUGCAAAGGGCUGGGCCUGGGAGUUGCAGCUGCAGAUGCCCGGGGCCGGGUGGUGAGGCUGCAGCUGAGCCCCAGCACCUGAUACCGGCACCGGGGGGUGUCGGUGGUGGGCUCAGAGCUGUUUCCUUCCCCCUCCUCUGUACCCGCUUCUGCCCCGCUCCCCUCUCCGCAGGCUGGGCGCGCUGCCUGUCCCCAGGGACCCCCGCUGCCAGGCCAACAGGGGACCCGAGCUGCCGUGCGGGACGCGUGCGCUGGCAGCUCCGUUUGGCCCUCCAGCUGCCUGCCGAAUCCUCUGCUUUCUGGCGGGAGCUCUGCACGCUGCAGCCUGGCUCCCUGAGCCUGGCGGUCGCCUCUUGCAGACAAAAUGCUGUCUGUGUGCUGGCAGGGAGGCGGUGGCAGGCCAGACCCAGCGCAUGGUGCGUGUCCCCUCGCGCUGCGCCUGCCUGGGGCGCGCGGCCGCAGGUGCUUUUCCGUGGCUGUCUGAAGGGCUGCGGUGGUUUUAAUAUCUCUGCCGAGUGA
rnacentral:lncRNA from 1 species